GACGAACGCUGGCGGCGUGCCUAAUACAUGCAAGUAGAACGCACAGUUUAUACCGUAGCUUGCUACACCAUAGACUGUGAGUUGCGAACGGGUGAGUAACACGUAGGUAACCUGCCUGGUAGCGGGGGAUAACUAUUGGAAACGAUAGCUAAUACCGCAUAAUAUUGAUUAUUGCAUGAUAAUUAAUUGAAAGGUGCAAUUGCACCACUACCAGAUGGACCUGCGUUGUAUUAGCUAGUAGGUGAGGUAACGGCUCACCUAGGCGACGAUACAUAGCCGACCUGAGAGGGUGAUCGGCCACACUGGGACUGAGACACGGCCCAGACUCCUACGGGAGGCAGCAGUAGGGAAUCUUCGGCAAUGGACGAAAGUCUGACCGAGCAACGCCGCGUGAGUGAAGAAGGUUUUCGGAUCGUAAAGCUCUGUUGUAAGAGAAGAACGGGUGUGAGAGUGGAAAGUUCACACUGUGACGGUAUCUUACCAGAAAGGGACGGCUAACUACGUG
rnacentral:rRNA from 1 species